rnacentral:rRNA from 1 species
UACGGGGGGGGCAAGCGUUGUUCGGAAUUACUGGGCGUAAAGGGCUCGUAGGCGGCCAACUAAGUCAGACGUGAAAUCCCCAGGCUCAACCUGGGAACUGCGUCUGAUACUGGAUGGCUUGAAUCCGGGAGAGGGAUGCAGAAUUCCACGUGUAGCGGUGAAAUGCGUAGAGAUGUGGAGGAACACCAGUGGCGAAGGCGACUCUUUGGCCUGUAACUGACGCUGAGGCGCGAAAGCGUGGGGAGCAAACAGG